CGAGUAGUAGCUCAAUCGAAGAGCUCCCGCUUCGUAUGCGGGAAGAUCUGGGUUCGUUUCCGGGCUGCUUAC
rnacentral:tRNA from 1 species